GACUCUCUCUCUUUACACUAACAUUCACCCAUUUCCAAGACAUCUCUCUUUCUCCCUCUUCAUCUUCUUUCUUUCUUUCUCCUUCUCUAGGGUAUAUAGCUCUUUCUCUGAUCUUUGGAUCAGUUCAAGAAAUCGACUGCCUACGCUACAUAUAUAUAUACUCUUCAUCAACUUGCAGCAAGAAGUGUCACUUACAUACAAUAAAGCAAUCCCAUCUCAGUUAAUCUUCAAAUGGGAACUUUCUCUUUCUCUCUUAUUCAUUAUCCUUUUGUUCAUCACUCAGGAGACUGAUCAAGAUUAUUAUUGUCAAUGGAGAUGGAAUCUUGCGUCCCACCAGGCUUUAGAUUUCACCCAACAGAGGAAGAACUUGUGGGUUACUACCUCAAGAGAAAGAUUAACUCACUGAAAAUUGAUUUAGAUGUUAUUAUUGACAUUGAUCUCUACAAAAUGGAGCCAUGGGAUAUACAAGAGAGAUGCAAGCUAGGGUAUGAUGAACAAAAUGAGUGGUACUUCUUCAGCCACAAGGACAGGAAGUAUCCCACCGGAACAAGGACUAACAGAGCCACUGCUGCCGGAUUUUGGAAGGCAACAGGAAGGGACAAGGCCGUGCUUUCAAAGGACAAAAUUAUAGGGAUGAGAAAGACCCUGGUUUUUUACAAGGGGCGUGCACCCAAUGGAAGCAAAACUGACUGGAUCAUGCAUGAAUAUCGACUCCAAACAUCUGAACACGGACCCCCUCAGGAAGAAGGAUGGGUGGUCUGUCGAGCAUUCAAGAAACCAAUCCCUAACCAAAGGCCAAGUUAUAUUGAAGCUUGGGAUAAUCAUGCUUAUUGUGCCAAUAUUAGGCCUCCAUCAUUUUCAGAUACACUAACCACUACACAUAUGGCCAUUCAUCCGAAUCAAACUGCAAGUUUUCAUCAGCAGCUGCCCUUUGGCUCGGACCCAGCAGAUCAGCUGGUUUCCAGCCAUCCAUUUUUGGAGAAUAACCAGCUCAUUGAUCUCCCACAACUAGAUAGCCCUAGUACACUUUCAACAAGCUUUGCAACCAGAGAAGGUUUCCACAAUAACAAUGGUGUUUCUAGUGAAGAUUUCGAUGAACAAAGGAGCAAUAAUAGCAGUACCCAGUUCAUUGACUGGAAAAAUUUAGAUAGUUUACUUGCAUCGCAAGUGAACAAUUCAACCUCUUCUUUUCCUGCGCCAAAUUUAUUGCCAUCUAUGCCACAGAGCUAUGAGCUCAGCCAUUUUCCUGGUUGCUUUCCUGAUUCACAAUAACGAGAAAACAAAAAGAUUAAGGGAAAGACCCUAUACCACUUAUUGCUGCAUACCCCAUAUCGUAGAAUAAUAAGUGCUGCAGUAGAAGCUAAGUUCAAGGUCCAUUGUAGAAGGUAUCAAAGAAGAAAUUGCAAGCUGAUCAUUAUCAUGUAAGUAGAAGAGGAAGUAGAAGAAGAUAACAUAUGAAUUUGUUGUGAUAAAGAAGGAAGAGUUCACAUGCAAAUUGAAUAUCUUCCCCACAAGUUUUAGAGUCAUCAAAAGGUGAAGCUGUUAACUCACGUUUCUUAAUUACGUCUGGUUAAUUAUGUUUCUAUUUCAUAAUUGUAAAUGGUUUAUCAUUGCAUUUGCAUGCAUAUAUGUACUUAUGAUCUUGUUUUUCGUCACAAUCAAUGUUGUAUUCUGCACUAAUCAUAAUGUUUCUCUAGCCGUCUUUCUUUUUUCAUUCUUGCUAGACUUUGUUUGGUGAUGAUUAUAUUUACUUAUUUGUACUUAUGUCGAC
rnacentral:misc_RNA from 1 species